rnacentral:rRNA from 1 species
AAGUUNNACCUGGCUCAGAUUGAACGCUGGCGGCAGGCCUAACACAUGCAAGUCGAGCGGCAGCACGGGUACUUGUACCUGGUGGCGAGCGGCGGACGGGUGAGUAAUGCCUAGGAAUCUGCCUGAUAGUGGGGGAUAACGCUCGGAAACGGACGCUAAUACCGCAUACGUCCUACGGGAGAAAGCAGGGGACCUUCGGGCCUUGCGCUAUCAGAUGAGCCUAGGUCGGAUUAGCUAGUUGGUGGGGUAAUGGCUCACCAAGGCGACGAUCCGUAACUGGUCUGAGAGGAUGAUCAGUCACACUGGAACUGAGACACGGUCCAGACUCCUACGGGAGGCAGCAGUGGGGAAUAUUGGACAAUGGGCGAAAGCCUGAUCCAGCCAUGCCGCGUGUGUGAAGAAGGUCUUCGGAUUGUAAAGCACUUUAAGUUGGGAGGAAGGGCAGUUACCUAAUACGUAUCUGUUUUGACGUUACCGACAGAAUAAGCACGGCUAACUAAUGUG